CGUCAUGUUUUUUACUGUAAAUCUUUCUCUCUGUGUCUCACUUUGGUUCCUGGGUUUGAGGUGGAGGUUUACCUGAGAGGUUCUUUUGCUUAAUUCUCUUUUGGACUGUUGUCUGUGUUUUUGUCUCUUCUGUUGUCCACUGAUAAUCAGGUGUGGACUCUGCAAUGGAUCAGUGUGAGGACACAGAGGAGGGACCCCAGAAAACCGGUCUGUGUGGGGACCAGGAGAUCCAGAUCAAAGAUCAGAGUCCACAGCAG